ACUUUCAUUAGCUGGCAGGUCUCCCUUUAAUUUGGUCAGAUACCAUUUCUCGUGACUCCCGAUGGAAAAGUGCUUGGUGAGUCUCUAGCAAUCAUGAAGUAUGUUUGCAGAAUAAGAGGUUUAAGCCUAACAGAAAGUUUUGAUGAGGCAAUUGCUGAUAUGAUUGUGGGUGGAGUGGAUGAUUUUUUCAACUCCUUAGUAAAGGCUUAUAAGGAAGAUGAUGAAGCUAAAAAGAUGGAGCUGAUGAAAGAAUUCUUUGAAGAAACCCUCCUAACCGACUGUCAAAAUAUGAAAAUCUUCUGAGAGCCAACAAAGAAG